AUUGAACGCUGGCGGCAGGCCGAACACAUGCAAGUCGAACGGUAACAGGAAACAGCUUGCUGUUUCGCUGACGAGUGGCGGACGGGUGAGUAAUGUCUGGGAAACUGCCUGAUGGAGGGGGAUAACUACUGGAAACGGUAGCUAAUACCGCAUAACGUCGCAAGACCAAAGAGGGGGACCUUCGGGCCUCUUGCCAUCGGAUGUGCCCAGAUGGGAUUAGCUAGUAGGUGGGGUAACGGCUCACCUAGGCGACGAUCCCUAGCUGGUCUGAGAGGAUGACCAGCCACACUGGAACUGAGACACGGUCCAGACUCCUACGGGAGGCAGCAGUGGGGAAUAUUGCACAAUGGGCGCAAGCCUGAUGCAGCCAUGCCGCGUGUAUGAAGAAGGCCUUCGGGUUGUAAAGUACUUUCAGCGGGGAGGAAGGGAGUAAAGUUAAUACCUUUACUCAUUGACGUUACCCGCAGAAGAAGCACCGGCUAACUCCGUG
rnacentral:rRNA from 1 species